AGGCAGCAGUGAGGAAUAUUGCGCAAUGGGGNNNACCCUGACGCAGCGACGCCGCGUGAGUGAGGAAGGCUUUCGGGUCGUAAAGCUCUGUCAAAAGGGAAGAAAUGCAUAAUAAUUAAUACUUAUUAUGUUUGACGGUACCUUUAAAGGAAGCACCGGCUAACUCCGUGCCAGCAGCCGCGGUAAUACGGAGGGUGCAAGCGUUGUUCGGAAUUACUGGGCGUAAAGGGCGCGCAGGCGGCUUGAUAAGUCAGAUGUGAAAGCCCACGGCUUAACCGUGGAAGUGCAUUUAAAACUGUCAAGCUUGAGUAUCAGAGGGGAAAGUGGAAUUCCUGGUGUAGAGGUGAAAUUCGUAGAUAUCAGGAGGAAUACCAGUGGCGAAGGCGACUUUCUGGCUGAAUACUGACGCUGAGGCGCGAAAGCGUGGGGAGCAAACAGGAUUAGAUACCCUGGUAGUCCACGCCGUAAACGAUGUCAACUAGGUGUAGGGGGUCUUGAUCCCUUC
rnacentral:rRNA from 1 species